UACGUAGGGUGCAAGCGUUAAUCGGAAUUACUGGGCGUAAAGCGUGCGCAGGCGGUUUUUCAAGACCGAUGUGAAAUCCCCGGGCUUAACCUGGGAACUGCAUUGGUGACUGCACGGCUAGAGUGUGUCAGAGGGGGGUAGAAUUCCACGUGUAGCAGUGAAAUGCGUAGAGAUGUGGAGGAAUACCGAUGGCGAAGGCAGCCCCCUGGGAUAACACUGACGCUCAUGCACGAAAGCGUGGGGAGCAAACAGG
rnacentral:rRNA from 1 species